AGGGCAUUUAGCUAAUAAUGUACCUCGCGAUGAACAGGCAACUGUGAGUCGUUUGCAUUUAUUAGAAAACACCAAUCGUAUGCGAAAUCAUACGUGAUGAAUCUAGAUAACUUUGCAGAUCGUAUAGCCUUGAGCUGACGACAUUUCGAUUGAGUUUCUGCCCUAUCACUUUGAUGUCAGUGUAUUGAACUGACAUGGGGUUGACGGGUAACGGAGGAUCAGGGUUCGAUCCCGGAGAGGGAGCCUGAGAAACGGCUACCACAUCCAAGGAAGGCAGCAGGCGCGCAAAUUACCCAAUCCAGACAGUGGGAGGUGGUGACGAAAAGUACCGGAUGACAGUUUAAUUAUUGUCAGUUCGGAAUGGAAUCAAUUUAAGUAAUUGAAUUGAGUAACGACUGGAGGGCAAGUCUGGUGCCAGCAGCCGCGGUAAUUCCAGCUCCAGUAGCGUAUCUCAAAGUUGCUGCGCUUAAAACGCUCGUAGUUGGAUGAGAAACUGCGGGGUGUGUAGUUUGAUGAUAGCUAGACGUAGCUCUUUCGGUGACAAUACAACUGUAUUUGAUCCAUUGGGUGAUCGGCUGUUAUUGAACAAAUAUACGCUCCGUAGUAGUUGCAUGUGAGGAUGAUUGUUGACCUUGAGUGUGUUGAUAAUCGUGUCUCACGGAGUGUGCCUUGAGUAAAUCAGAGUGCUCAAAGCAGGCAUUAUGCCUGAAUGUUGAUAGCAUGGAACGAACAAUCGUGUAAGGUGUGUAUUGAUACCGGUGCUUGUUUGCCGCGUUCAUCCGCGGCUCGGCACUGCAAUACACAACACCGACCACCAAUUACGGAUGUUGGUUCCGUAUCGGGUACUGAUUAAAAGACCGUUGGGGGCAUGGUAUUUGGCAGCGAGAGUGAAAUUCUUUGACCUUGCCAAGACUGACAAUGCUAAGCAAUGCUGUCCCACCGGUUCCAUCAUCAGAACUAUAAUGACAACGAUCCGAGACGAUCGAUACCGAUCUAGAUCCCACUGUUAUCUCAGCGACACUGGAUCAACUGGGAAUAGUAUUCAGCACUCAUAUCGGAUCUCGACGUAGCUCCACAUGAUAACCUAAGUUGUUAUUGUGUCUGGAUUAGUCCAAGACUAAGUUAGUAAUUCGAGAAGUCACCCGUGGUGUCCU
rnacentral:rRNA from 1 species